GGGAAUAUUGGACAAUGGGCGAAAGCCUGAUCCAGCAAUGCCGCGUGGGUGAAGAAGGUUUUCGGAUUGUAAAGCCCUUUCGGCGGGGACGAUGAUGACGGUACCCGCAGAAGAAGCUCCGGCUAACUUCGUGCCAGCAGCCGCGGUAAUACGAAGGGGGCUAGCGUUGCUCGGAAUGACUGGGCGUAAAGGGCGCGUAGGCGGUUCGUACAGUCGGGUGUGAAAUUCCUGGGCUUAACCUGGGGACUGCCCUCGAGACGUGCGGGCUAGAGUGGGGAAGAGGGUCGUGGAAUUCCCAGUGUAGAGGUGAAAUUCGUAGAUAUUGGGAAGAACACCGGUGGCGAAGGCGGCGACCUGGUCCUUGACUGACGCUGAGGCGCGAAAGCGUGGGGAGCAAA
rnacentral:rRNA from 1 species